AUUGAAUGCUGGCGGCAGGCCUAACACAUGCAAGUCGAGCGGCAGCGGGAAGAAGUUUGCUUCUUUGUUGGCGAGCGGCGGAUGCGUGAGUAAUGUCUGGCGAUCUGCCCGGUAGAAGGGAAUAACUACUGGAAACGGUAGUUAAUAAAGCAUAGACGUCGCAAGACCAAAGUGGGGGGGCCUUUGGGCCUAACACCACGGAUGAACCUAGAUAGGAUUAGCUAUUAGGUAAGGUAAUGGCUCACCUACUGCGACGAUCUCUAGCUGGUCUGAGAGGAUGACGAUCCAUACUAAAACUGAGAUACGGUCUACACUCCUAUCGGGAGGCAGCAGUGGAGAAUAUUGCACAAUGGGGGAAACUCCGAUGCAGCCGUGCCGCAUGUGUGAAGAAGGCCAUUAGGGUUGUGAAAGCACUUUCAGCAGGAGGAAGUGCGCUAGCAUUAAUAACGUUAUCGAUUGACGUUACCCGCAGAAAAAGCACCGGCUAACUCCGUGCCAGCAGCUGCGGUAAUACAGAAGAUGCGAGCGUUAAUCGGAAUUACUGGGCGUAAAGCGUACGCAGGCAGACUGUUAAGUCAGAUGUAAAAUCCCUGGGGUGAAACUGGCAGGCUAGAGUCUCGUAAAAGGGCUAGAAUUCCAGGUGUAGCGGUGAAGUGCGUAGAGAUCUGGAGGAAUACUGGGGGCUAAAGCAACCCCCGGAACGAAGACUGACGCUCAGGUACGCAAGUGUGGGGAGCGAACAGGAUUAGAUACGUUGGUAGUCCACACUGUAAACAAUGUCGAUUUAAAGGUUGUGGCCUUGGGCCGUAGCUUUCGGAGCUAACGUGUUAAAUCGACCGCCUGGGGAGUAUGGCCGCAAGGUUGAAACUCAAAUGAAUUGACGGGGGCCCGCACAAGCGGUGGAGCAUGUGGUUUAAUUCGAUGCAACGCGAAGAACCUUAUCCUACUCUUGACAUCCAGAGAACGUGUCAGUGGUGCCUUCGGGAACUCUAAGACAAGUGCUGCAUUGCUGUCGUCAGCUCGUGUUGUGAAAUGUUGGGUUAAGUCCCGCAACGAGCGCAACCCUUAUACUUUGUUGCCAGCGAUUCGGUAGGGAACUCAAAGGAGACUGCCGGUGAUAAACAGGAGGAAGGCAGGGAUGACGUGAAGUCAUCAUGGCCCUUACGAGUAGGACUACAAUGGUGCAUACAAAGAGAAGCGAUCUCGCGAGAGUCAGCGGA
rnacentral:rRNA from 1 species